CCUAGCCCUAAACCCAAAUAUUUAAUACACAAAAAUAUUCGCCAGAGAACUACGAGCAAAACGCUUAAAACUCUAAGGACUUGGCGGUACUUCAAACCCCCCUAGAGGAGCCUGUUCUAUAAUCGAUAAUCCACGAUCUACCCAACCAUCUCUUGCCAAUACCGCCUAUAUACCACCGUCACCAGCUUACCCCAUGAGGGACACCAAAGUAAGCAAAACAACUAACAACAGCUAACAAGUCAGGUCAAGGUGUAGCUAAUUGAGAUGGAAGAAAUGGGCUACAUUUUCUACACUAGAAAUUAACUAACAGAAAGGAACUAUGAAACCAGUCCUAUAAGUAGGAUUUAGCAGUAAACUGGGAUCAAAAUACCCAAUUU
rnacentral:rRNA from 1 species